UUAAAAAAAAUAAAAAAAUAAAAACUCAAAAUAAACACAUUCCAUUCUCGAAACUUCAAGACACUAACAAAACUAGAUAACUAUUGAUGGAGACUGAUAAAAUAGAAAUGUUCUCAUGACAAAAAUUAAAAUGAUAACAAAAAUCCUAUCCUGAACGGGAAGGUGCAUGACACUCGUCAAUAGAAGAAUUCAAGCACAAACUAAAUAACAUGUGCAGAGAAAGAGAGAAAUCUAAGUUAAUUGAAGACAUACCCAGCUGAACAGUGAUCAUGAG
rnacentral:misc_RNA from 1 species